GAAACUGUGAGUAGAAGGUUCAUCACUUCAGAAUUAUCUUCUGAACAUUCUGAAAUAUAAUUUACUCACCCGGGUUGAGCUCUAAAAUUAUGAUUGAACCUUGGCAUUGAGCUGAUGCUUCAUAACGUGUUAUUAUAAGAGACAUAGGCUGCUCGAGUUGUCUGAAUAUACCCCAUAGUCCCUCUGAUGCCUGUACACAAGUCCUUGGGCGCCUUCAGAAAGGAAGCUUGAUAAAGAGCCAUUGUGCAUAAAAAAGAAAAAAAAAAAAAAACCAGUAGUCAGUGUUCACCCUCAUGACAGUAACGCAGCAACUGUCCUUGAUUCUUAUGACAGUGUCAAAGGCUUCUACCAUCGCUUGUACUCAGGACUCUGUGAUAAAGCUGCAGAUUUUUGAGGUUCAAGUGGUAGAAAACUAGAGAAAUUGCAGCCAGAGAAACGAAGAAGAAAAACGCAGAGGGGCCUAAGAGGACUGAGAGUAUUAGAAUUGCUUUAUUUUGGUUGCCUCUGCCUGAAGUUAGUUCACUGGACUUCAAUAUCUUGAUUAGAGCACUUCUGGAAACAUCAGUUUGAUCCAACCUCCCAUUUGAAAGAGGUAGUCUUUUCCUCCAACAGCUUCCAGUUCCAUUUGCAAACCUCAGGUCCUCAAAAAUAGCAACUGCACAGUAGGCUCCAACACCAAUCCCUGGGUUGGCAAUAUGGUAUUAGUUGGGUGCUUGAAGCUCUCCCAUAUACUGGUAUACAAUUUCCAUGUCCAAGCAUGGCACCAUGCACUGCUUCGCUGCUCACAUUACCAGUCUUUGUCUUCAUCUCUUAGCCUCUGGAGAACAAGUUGUCCAUUGGUAGUAAGCUCAACUUUUGAUCCUCUUGGCACCGGUUAACUUCCAUUUGCAGUCCAGAUAGCAAGAAGGAUAUUGAUCCUUUUCACUUGGAGAGGGUCAGAAUCCAAAUGCAAAAUCACCAGAAGGCGAACCCCAUGUGGAGUUGUCAUCAGAGACAUAAAGAGAUGAACCCAAGCUUAUAUUACUAUAAGCUUGGCUGAUGAGUAACAAGUAGAGGUAGAGAGACGAUGUAUGUAAGUUUGUAUGUGAAUAAUUGGCCACCCGACUGCUUUUCUCUGCAUGUUGAUUAAGUUGAAAGAGUCUAGUGAAUAUUAUUUUCUUCUAUAAUUGAACAUUCUCCUGUAAUUGAAUAGUGUGAAAGCAAUUUUUUCUUCUUCUUCAACAAA